rnacentral:rRNA from 1 species
UACGGAGGGGGCGAGCGUUAUCCGGAAUUAUUGGGCGUAAAGUGUCUGUAGGUGGCUUUUCAAGUCAGUCGUCAAAUCCCAGGGCUCAACCCUGGACAGGCGGUGGAAACUACCAAGCUAGAGUACGGUAGAGGCAGAGGGAAUUUCCGGUGGAGCGGUGAAAUGCGUUGAGAUCGGGAAGAACACCAAAAGGCGAAAGCACUCUGCUGGGCCGUCACUGACACUGAGGGACGAAAGCUAGGGGAGCGAAUGGG